GCGCCUGUAGCUCAGUAGGAUAGAGCAGCGGACUUCUAAUCCGCAGGUCGGGGGUUCGAAUCUUCCCAGGCGCGCCA
rnacentral:tRNA from 1 species